rnacentral:rRNA from 1 species
CGUAAGGCGCCGAAUGAGUCAUUAAAAAAUUAACAUCAUCCGAUCCCUAGUCGGCAUAGUUUAUGGUUAAGACUACGACGGUAUCUGAUCGUCUUCGAUCCCCUAACUUUCGUUCUUGAUUAAUGAAAACAUCCUUGGCAAAAUGCUUUUCGCAGUAGUUAGUCUUCAAUAAAUCCAAAGAAUUUCACCUCUGACAAUUGAAUACUAAUGCCCCCCAACUAUCCCUAUUAAUCAUUACGUCAAUCCUAAGAAACCAACAAAAUAGGAUCAAACGUCCUAUUUCAUUAUUCCAUGCUAAUGUAUUCAAG